UUGGAGGGCAAGUCUGGUGCCAGCAGCCGCGGUAAUUCCAGCUCCAAUAGCGUAUAUUAAAGUUGUUGCAGUUAAAAAGCUCGUAGUUGAAUUUCGGAAUCUGUCCAUCGGUCGGGCUUCACUGUUCGUACUGGUGUGGUGGGUUCUUACCUUCUGAAUAACCAGCAUGCCAUUAAUUUGGUGCGUUGGGGAAGCAGGACUAUUACCUUGAAAAAAUUAGAGUGCUCAAAGCAGGCCAGUGCCUGAAUACAUUAGCAUGGAAUAAUAAAAUAGGACGGCAUGGUUCUAUUUUGUUGGUUUCUAGGAUCGCCGUAAUGAUUAAUAGGGAUAGUUGGGGGCAUUAGUAUUCAAUUGUCAGAGGUGAAAUUCUUGGAUUUAUUGAAGACUAACUUCUGCGAAAGCAUUUGCCAAGGAUGGUUUCAUUAAUCAAGAACGAAAGUUAGGGGAUCGAAGACGAUCAGAUACCGUCGUAGUCUUAACCAUAAACUAUGCCGACUAGGGAUCGGACGAUGUUAAUUUUUUAAUGACUCGUUCGGCGCCUUACGGGAAAC
rnacentral:rRNA from 1 species